GGAGGGACUGUGGGACUGAUGUCUCAGCUCCUCCAGGAUCCCAGCAGGAACGCCUUUUUUUCUGACAGUUGCAGGAGCAGCAGGAUUGAGCUCAAAGUUGUUGCUGUAAUUGCACCUGGUUGCGUCAUGAAAAAGUAAUUUGCUGUCAAGGACGUCAGGGUGUCAGCGUUCGGCAGGAGUUGAUAAGGUGUGUUAACGCGACACCAGGACAGUGACGAGCUUGAAGAAGCAACAUUCAUCUGGAGAACAGUUAAAGGUCAUUUACAAACAAUUUGGAGACUCUUCUUCCACUUAAAGAACACUGAAGACAGCUGCCAGUCUGGGAGUGGACAUUCAAGCAGAUUCACCCGGAAGGUCAGACUGUACUCGGAAAAAAGAGCUCCAGCUCAGACUCUGCGGGCCUCAGCUAACAGAUCACACUUCAUAACAGGACACUUGGAUGAAGACUGGACAGCCUCGUGUAGCGGCCCCCAGGAGGGCCGGUCUCCGAGCGACCGCGCCGUCAACCUUCUCGACCCACCGGUCCAGACAUAAGUGGGCUCUCUGAGGACCGACGCCAUGUGUCGGCUGUGGAGUCCAGGUGGCCGGGGGGUCAAGUGUUUGUGCGUACCUGGGCGACAUUGA